AGAGUUUGAUCCUGGCUCAGAAUCAACGCUGGCGGCGUGCCUAACACAUGCAAGUCGCACGAGAAAGGGGCUUCGGCCCUGAGUAAAGUGGCGCACGGGUGAGUAACACGUGACUAACCUACCCUGGAGUGGGGGAUAACUGAGGGAAACCUUAGCUAAUACCGCAUAAUACCUACGGGUCAAAGGAGCAAUUCGCUUUAGGAGGGGGUCGCGGCAGAUUAGCUAGUUGGCGGGGUAAUGGCCCACCAAGGCAGUGAUCUGUAUCCGGCCUGAGAGGGCGCACGGACACACUGGAACUGAAACACGGUCCAGACUCCUACGGGAGGCAGCAGUGGGGAAUUUUGCGCAAUGGGGGAAACCCUGACGCAGCAACGCCGCGUGGAGGAUGAAGUCUCUUGGGACGUAAACUCCCUUUCGAUUGGGAAGAUAAUGACGGCGUA
rnacentral:rRNA from 1 species